rnacentral:rRNA from 1 species
UACGGAGGGUGCAAGCAUUGAUCGGAAUUACUGGGUGUCAAGGGCGCGUAGGCGGCAGGAACAGUCGGAUGUGAAAUUCCGGGGCUCAACCCCGGAGCUGCAUUUGAAACUAUCCAGCUAGAGGUUAGUGAGGGAAAACGGACUUCCACGUGGAGCGGUGAAAUGCGUAGAUAUGUGGAAGAACACCGGUGGUGAAGACGGUUUUCUGUACUAAACCUGACGCUGAGGCGCGAAAGCUAGGGGAGCAAACAGG